AGUUUCAGUCAGAAACUGAUUUGGUAAGCACAUACUUGUGUGAUAAUGGCAUCUCUGCAAAGAGUUAUCACAGUGGUCUUCUUGCUAAAGAUCGCAAACGCAUACAAGAGAAUUUUUGUUCAAACAAGAUUAGAGUGGUUGUUGCAACUGUGGCUUUUGGCAUGGGACUUGACAAGAGGGACGUUGGCGCUGUAAUCCACUACAGCAUGCCGGAAAGCUUGGAGGAGUAUGUUCAAGAGAUAGGGCGUGCUGGCCGGGAUGGUAGAUUAUCGUACUGUCAUCUAUUUCUUGACAAUGAUACAUAUUUCAAGCUUCGAAGUCUUAUGCACAGUGAUGGAGUCGAU
rnacentral:misc_RNA from 1 species